CCAAACCGGUGCGUAAAAUGAGUUAAUCGCUCUAGUUCGGUUCGAACCGGUGCGAAUGCUUUUGCAAGAAAAAAAAAGGGGGCUUUAUUCCUUCAUUUCUAUUUCUGUCUUCUUUCUUUCUCUUUCCUCCGUCUCUUUCCCUUUCCUUUUCUCUCUCCUUCGAUCUCCUUCUCCACCGCCGGCCACCUCCUUUCGUUAUUCCGUCGCCGUGCUCUGGUGUUUUUCGUCGUCGUGCUGUGGCCCGGUCUGUUCCGGUGGGUUGUUCGUUUCGACGAAAUUCCGGUGCAUUUCAGCCAUGGCAGAAACUACGAGGAAGAUGAAGAUGAACAACCUCGUUGCGGCGCCGAAACCGAAUUUUAUCUACCUUUUAUUCUGGUGCUGAACCCUCACUCUCACUUAGAUGGUGUUUGUUAUUUGAGAGUUGGAUGCAGUGACCAUUUCAUGAAAAAAAAAACCUAGGUUAGGCAUCUGAUUCCGUUGAAGGUGUUGCUUCAAAUUGUGACUUAAAUCAUCUCAACAAGUUGCCUGGUUCCUUGCUUUCAUUUGAGACAUUGGACACUUCUGGUAUAUUGGCGCCUCAGCUACAUAUUGGAAUGUGCUUUUCAUGCCUUCCUUGGACUAUUUCAGAGCAUCACUUAUAUAAGCUGCAGUAUCUGCAUUUGGGCGCUCCUAGGAUAUGGUACAGCAUACCCGGAUGUGACUCACAUAAGUUUGAGGUUAUUGCAAAAAGACACUUCCCAGCUUCUGGAAAAGAGCAUCUUGAGCGAAUUCAUAGAUCAGCAAGUUCUUUAGUUUUGCCUCUACGCCUAUAGCAAACAUGAGACAGUAUUCUUCAAAAUCUUAGGAAAAAUUUCAAAUUUCAAGCUAAGUUUUCUCAAGUAAAAUUAUUAUCAAUAAAACAAGGGGGCAGUUGCAGGAGGGAGGGGGACAGCAGGGGGCCGGGGCAGGUGGAGCAGGGAGGGGGCAGCUGCAGGGAAGGGGGCAGUUGCAGGUUGGUUUAUGAUCACCUAAGGGAUGCUUAUCUGUCUGUCUUAGAUGUAAAAGAGAGGCGAUUCCAUGCUUUGAAAUAUACAUGGGGAGUCACUAAAUUUCUUCCAAUUUCUACAUUCAAUGACUCGGAUUAUGGAUUUUUGGUUGAUGAUUGUUGUGUAUUUGGUGCCGAGGUUUUUGUUAUAAACAACCAAGUCAAGAUAUCUACUCUGUCAGUUGUGGAAGAAAAACAUGACAGAAGCUUUACCCCUCAACUCUGAAUGAUGAAUUGCAUUCUCUUGUAUUUUGCUAUAAUGGAUGGUCAUGGAAAUUGGAAUUAUGUCCAAGAGUAAAGGCUGAUGAUGGUAAAUACCUCUCAUUAUAUCUGCAUCUAGACAAUAGUUCUGGGCUAACUGAUGGUAGCAAACUGUAUGUUUAAUAUUUUCUUUACUUAAAGAAUCAACGCGAAGGAGAAGAUCACUACAAACUCGGUUAUAACUAUUUUUCUGUAAGUGAGGACACUUGGGGCUACACAGACUUUAUUUCUCUCAGUGAUCUACAUGAUUCUUCGAAUAGCUACAUCGUAGAUGACACCAUUAUCGUUGAAGUUUCUAUUGAGAAGAUAUUUAGAAUAUGCAGAAUUUGUUGUCUUGUUAUGCCUGAGUUUCAUUGUAUAUGCAGAAUUUGUUAGGUUUUUUAUUCUAUUUUUUUGGACGAAAAUUGUAAUAUUACAGCCUUUUUUUAAUGAAAAUAU